GCAUAUCAAUAAGCGGAGGAAAAGAAACUAACAAGGAUUCCCCUAGUAACGGCGAGUGAACCGGGAAGAGCUCAAAUUUGAAAUCUGGCGUCCUCAGGGCGUCCGAGUUGUAAUCUAUAGAGGCGUUUUCCGUGCCGGACCGUGUCCAAGUUCCUUGGAACAGGAUAUCAAAGAGGGUGACAAUCCCGUACUUGACACGAUGACCGGUGCUCUGUGAUACGUCUUCUACGAGUCGAGUUGUUUGGGAAUGCAGCUCAAAAUGGGUGGUGAGUUCCAUCUAAAGCUAAAUAUUGGCGAGAGACCGAUAGCGAACAAGUACCGUGAGGGAAAGAUGAAAAGCACUUUGGAAAGAGAGUUAAACAGUACGUGAAAUUGUUGAAAGGGAAACGAUUGAAGUCAGUCGUGACUGAGAGGCUCAGCCGGUUCUGCCGGUGUAUUCCCCUCAGUCGGGUCAACAUCAGUUUUGUCCGGUGGAAAAGGGCGGUAGGAACGUGGCACCUCCGGGUGUGUUAUAGCCUGCCGUCGCAUACAUCGGGUGAGACUGAGGAAUGCAGCUCGCCUUUAUGGCCGGGGUUCGCCCACGUCCGAGCUUAGGAUGUUGACAUAAUGGCUUUAAACGACCCGUCUUGAAACACGGACC
rnacentral:rRNA from 1 species